rnacentral:lncRNA from 1 species
AAGCCAUCCUGAGAGGCAUCUGCCAUCUUACUCAUGUUAUAACUUAUCGGUCAACUGAGUCUAAAUGGUCAUGACUGUGAGGUCACUAAGGAUCACCAAUUAAAUUACAUAGAGUUUUCUAGAAUAUAGACAUUUGGAAGUAACCCCAGUUGAUUAAUAUAGUAGAGCCAAUGGAAGUAAAAAUGAAGUACUCUGUAAAUGAAAAAUUGCAAGAGCCAUUUCUUCAUCUUGUGGAUUUAGUGUAACUACACUGUUUGAAAGAAGUCCUGGGUUGGAUGUAAGAAUUGCUCAAGAUCUACAAGAGAUUCCACCCUCA